rnacentral:rRNA from 1 species
GACGAACGCUGGCGGCGUGCCUAAUACAUGCAAGUCGAGCGAGCGGACGAGAAGCUUGCUUCUCUGAUGUUAGCGGCGGACGGGUGAGUAACACGUGGAUAACCUACCUAUAAGACUGGGAUAACUUCGGGAAACCGGAGCUAAUACCGGAUAAUAUUUUGAACCGCAUGGUUCAAAAGUGAAAGACGGUCUUGCUGUCACUUAUAGAUGGAUCCGCGCUGCAUUAGCUAGUUGGUAAGGUAACGGCUUACCAAGGCAACGAUGCAUAGCCGACCUGAGAGGGUGAUCGGCCACACUGGAACUGAGACACGGUCCAGACUCCUACGGGAGGCAGCAGUAGGGAAUCUUCCGCAAUGGGCGAAAGCCUGACGGAGCAACGCCGCGUGAGUGAUGAAGGUCUUCGGAUCGUAAAACUCUGUUAUUAGGGAAGAACAUAUGUGUAAGUAACUGUGCACAUCUUGACGGUACCUAAUCAGAAAGCCACGGCUAACUACGUG